CACUAUUCUCUCAACAGCCGCAUCUCUCUUUCUCCCUCUUCCUCUCUUUCUUUCUCUGUCAAAUAGCAAAAGUUGCUGCCCGUCACCGUAUUUAGUGAGACGCCGGAGCAGUCGCGUCCCUUCGCCGGCCUCCUAUCUCCGCUCUCGCGUCUCCAGCGGUGGCAAUACCCAUCAGCCACUGCUCCAGCGUCGACUCCAUCUCUGUCGCUCAACCGGCGAAAUCAACAGCCAACUCCACCGUUGGCCACCAAAUCCGAACCAGCCGCCACAACAGCCAAAUUCGGCCGCCGUACCAUCAUUUUGGCCAGCGAAAUCAGUCUUACCGGUGGAAGCCAACCAUGGACGAUGAAUCUCCAACCAACACCGCCAUUGCUCCACCCAUUUCCAAUUAAAAAAUCAGUCCAUUACCAUCGUCACUCCGUUAAAUGUCAACGGAAGAAUCUUAAGUACAUGACGAAUUCACAUGUGAAUUCGUUUUAGAUGAAACCUGAUUAUAGUUGGAUGUAUCAACGAAA